GGGGCGGUAGCUCAGCUGGUUAGAGCAACGGACUCAUAAUCCGUCGGCCGUGGGUUCGAGUCCCACCCGCCCCA
rnacentral:tRNA from 3 species